rnacentral:rRNA from 1 species
CAGCAGCCGCGGGAAUACGAGGGGGGCAAGCGUUGUUCGGAAUUAUUGGGCGUAAAGGGCGCGUAGGCGGUUUGGCAAGUUUGGUGUGAAAUCUUCGGGCUCAACUCGAAGUCUGCACCGAAAACUGCCGGGCUUGAGUAUGGGAGAGGUGAGUGGAAUUUCCGGUGUAGCGGUGAAAUGCGUAGAUAUCGGAAGGAACACCUGUGGCGAAAGCGGCUCACUGGACCAUUACUGACGCUGAGGCGCGAAAGCUAGGGGAGCAAACAGGAUUAGAUACCCGCGUAGUCCCUGUCUCUUAUAC